rnacentral:rRNA from 1 species
GACGAACGCUGGCGGCGUGCCUAAUACAUGCAAGUAGAACGCUGAAGGAGGAGCUUGCUUCUCUGGAUGAGUUGCGAACGGGUGAGUAACGCGUAGGUAACCUGCCUGGUAGCGGGGGAUAACUAUUGGAAACGAUAGCUAAUACCGCAUAAGAGUAGAUGUUGCAUGACAUUUGCUUAAAAGGUGCAAUUGCAUCACUACCAGAUGGACCUGCGUUGUAUUAGCUAGUUGGUGGGGUAACGGCUUACCAAGGCGACGAUACAUAGCCGACCUGAGAGGGUGAUCGGCCACACUGGGACUGAGACACGGCCCAGACUCCUACGGGAGGCAGCAGUAGGGAAUCUUCGGCAAUGGACGGAAGUCUGACCGAGCAACGCCGCGUGAGUGAAGAAGGUUUUCGGAUCGUAAAGCUCGGUUGUAAGAGAAGAACGAGUGUGAGAGUGGAAAGUUCACACUGUGACGGUAUCUUACCAGAAAGGGACGGCUAACUACGUG